GGUAGAUUUCAGAAGCUGGGUGAUGGAGUGGGGAAAGGAACUGGGAAGGCUGAGAGCAUGUGCAUUUUAAAGAUGAAAAGGUUUUCUUCUCUCACUUCCCUGAGACAGUUGUAUUGAAGCAGGGGAAGCUUGGACUAGAGGAAGUGAGGAAGCCCUCCUGCUUCCUGUGUAGAUCAGGAUGUAAUGGCCGGGGCUCCACUGGCCUCCUUGAAUCCCAUGGCAACCACGGGAGCAGAAGCCACAUUUUACCACUGGAGCAAAGAAUCAGAAGGCACUUGGGUCCCUAAUGACCAUGGACCCACCUUACCAGCUCUAAAUCUGUUGAACUCCAGACAUUUUACAUUUAUGAGAAAAAAGACCUUUUUAUAUUUAAGCCACAAUUACUUCUGGACUUUUUUACUAGCAGCUGAAUGUAAUUGCUAACAAAUACAGGGCUUCACAAGACAAUAAGAUGUCA